GAUGAACGCUGGCGGCGUGCCUAAUACAUGCAAGUCGAGCAAACGGACGAGAAGCUUGCUUCUCUGAUGUUAGCGGCGGACGGGUGAGUAACACGUGGAUAACCUACCUAUAAGACUGGGAUAACUUCGGGAAACCGGAGCUAAUACCGGAUGAUAUUUUGAACCGCAUGGUUCAAAAGUGAAAGACGGUCUUGCUGUCACUUAUAGAUGGAUCCGCGCUGCAUUAGCUAGUUGGUAAGGUAACGGCUUACCAAGGCAACGAUGCAUAGCCGACCUGAGAGGGUGAUCGGCCACACUGGAACUGAGACACGGUCCAGACUCCUACGGGAGGCAGCAGUAGGGAAUCUUCCGCAAUGGGCGAAAGCCUGACGGUGCAACGCCGCGUGAGUGAUGAAGGUCUUCGGAUCGUAAAACUCUGUUAUUAGGGAAGAACAUAUGUGUAAGUAACUGUGCACAUCUUGACGGUACCUAAUCAGAAAGCCACGGCUAACUACGUG
rnacentral:rRNA from 1 species